rnacentral:rRNA from 1 species
CUCGUAGACUCCUACGGGAGGCAGCAGUGGGGAAUAUUGCACAAUGGGCGCAAGCCUGAUGCAGCCAUGCCGCGUGUAUGAAGAAGGCCUUCGGGUUGUAAAGUACUUUCAGCAGUGAGGAAGGUUCAUGCGUUAAUAGCGUAUGGAUUUGACGUUAGCUGCAGAAGAAGCACCGGCUAACUCCGUGCCAGCAGCCGCGGUAAUACGGAGGGUGCGAGCGUUAAUCGGAAUUACUGGGCGUAAAGCGCAUGCAGGUGGUUUGUUAAGUCAGAUGUGAAAGCCCGGGGCUCAACCUCGGAAUAGCAUUUGAAACUGGCAGACUAGAGUACUGUAGAGGGGGUAGAAUUUCAGGUGUAGCGGUGAAAUGCGUAGAGAUCUGAAGGAAUACCGGUGGCGAAGGCGGCCCCCUGGACAGAUACUGACACUCAGAUGCGAAAGCGUGGGGAGCAAACAGGAUUAGAUACCCUGGUAG